UUAAACUUUUCAGAGGUUGUAGAGAUGAAUAUUCACAAGUACAAAAGUUCCUUUAAGCUGAGAUGGUCUCUAUGAACAUGGCUGAAGCAUGUUGCCUGUAUUUCUGAAGAUUCUAGAUUCGAAGAAAGUUCUAGAAUUAUUUCAAUGAGGUGGGCGUAUGUUUUUCUGUUGUCACCUAUAAUUAAGCUCACCAGCUUAGUUAUCCGUACUCACUUGUUGCUGGUGAUUGGAGGCAAUGGGCUCGACACUCCAAGACUCACAAGCACACGGCACCCACAGUUAAGACAGGGGCCUUCCUAAAUUUACUGAGAGAAUGGAGUGAUGUUUCAAAACUGAGCCUUCCUGGAUGCUUGCAGCCAACCAUUGGACUGAGCGAGGGGUCCCCAACAGAGGAGUUCGAGAAAGGACUGAAGGAGUUGAAGGGUUUAAGGACCUUCCCUGAGGGAUCUAGAUUGAAGUGGAAAAAGAUGAGCCAAUCGAUGAUCUUGCUGGAAUCAGGACAUUUUUUUUUCUCUUGGAACUGCAGUGUUUUUAGUGUCACGUUGGCUUAGAAGGUCAGGAGAAGGGCAAUGCUGGCCCUGCAGGCAGUUACUCUAUGAUGGAUAGCUCUGAGAUAAUCAUGCAAGAGCCUAACAAGAAUUGUCCACACAUUCAGUGACCAUAACUAAUGUAGUCUCGAUCUGGGAAGCACAAGAGCAGCAAGUGAAGUCACCCCGUUAUAACCAUCUGUUCAAGUGGAAGAUCAAGUGACAUGAAGAAUGGCAGGCACAGGGCUACAUCCACUUACCUAGCCAUAGUCCUGCCAUCCCACAGAGACAGCCCCAGGGCAGCGCUGCGAAGGAGGACCAGUGCUCCACCUUGGUGAAAUACAGGAUGAUGGGAGUGAAGGAGAUAAAGAUCAAAUUGAAGAAUCCCAAGGUGGAGACAAAGUGUGCAGCUUCACCAAAGUUGGCACUGCCCAGAAACAUCUUAAACAGAACCUGGAAAGGAGAGAAACUCUUGAGAGUCUUUGCUGCAGGACAAAAGUGAAUUCCACUGAACUUACCAGCUUAGAGUUUAGGCUCCAUGUCAUCUUGCCCUGCUACUGCUAUGUUACUAAAUGGGCUAGGGCGACAAAGAAUUAAAAUGACCUACAUUGUUCAAAAGGCA